rnacentral:tRNA from 1 species
AGGGGUAUAGCUCAGUGGUAGAGCAUUUGACUGCAGAUCAAGAAGUCUCCAGUUCAAACCUAAGUGCCCACUG